GAUGAAGAACGUAGUGAAAUGCGAUAAGUAAUGUGAAUUGCAGAAUUCAGUGAAUCAUCGAAUCUUUGAACGCACAUUGCGCCCCCCAGUUUUCUGGCGGGCAUGCCUGUUCGAGCGUCAUUUCAACCAUCAAGCCCUGCUUGUGUUGGGGUCCUGCGGCUGCCCGCAGGCCCUGAAAACCAGUGGCGGGCUCGCUAGUCACACCGAGCGCAGUAGCACAUCUCGCUCAGGGCGUGCGGCGGGCUCCAGCCGUUAAAGCACCCACCUUUCGCAAGGUUGACCUCGGAUCAGGUAGGAAUACCCGCUGAACUUAAGCAUAUCAAUAAGCGGAGGA
rnacentral:misc_RNA from 1 species